GCCAGAUGCAGUGGCGCUCGCCUGUAAUCCCAGCAGCUCGGGAGGCUGAGGCAGGAGGAUUGUGAGUUCAAAGCCAGCCUUAGCAAUAAUGAGGAGCUAAGCAACUCAGUGAGACCCUGUCUCUA
rnacentral:sRNA from 1 species